GAUGCGACCUCAGCUCAGGCGGGGCCACCCGCUGAGUUUAAGCAUAUCAAUAAGCGGAGGAAAAGAACUAACANGGAUUCCCCUAG
rnacentral:rRNA from 1 species